rnacentral:rRNA from 1 species
UGGGAACGCGAAGAACCUUACCAGGGCUUGACAUCCUACUAAUGAAGCAGAGAUGCAUUAAGUGCCCUUCGGGGAAAGUAGAGACAGGUGGUGCAUGGUUGUCGUCAGCUCGUGUCGUGAGAUGUUGGGUUAAGUCCCGCAACGAGCGCAACCCCUAUUGUUAGUUGCUACGCAAGAGCACUCUAGCGAGGCUGCCGUUGACAAAACGGAGGAAGGUGGGGACGACGUCAAAUCAUCAUGCCCCUUAUGUCCUGGGCCACACACGUAAUACAAUGGCGUUAAACAGAGGGAUGCUAAGCCGUGAGGUGGAGCGAACCCCUAAAAGGCGUCUCAGUUCGGAUUGCGGGCUGCAACUCGCCUGCAUGAAGUCGGAAUCGCUAGUAAUCGCGGAUCAGAAUGCCGCGGUGAAUACGUUCCCGGGUCUUGUACACACCG